rnacentral:rRNA from 1 species
CUACGGGGCGCUGCAGUGGGGAAUAUUGCACAAUGGAGGAAACUCUGAUGCAGCAACGCCGCGUGGAGGAUGACACUUUUCGGAGCGUAAACUCCUUUUAUAUAGGAAGAUGAUGACGGUACUAUAUGAAUAAGCGCCGGCUAACUCCGUGCCAGCAGCCGCGGUAAUACGGAGGGCGCAAGCGUUACUCGGAAUCACUGGGCGUAAAGAGCGUGUAGGCGGAUUAAAAAGUCAGAAGUGAAAUCCUAUAGCUUAACUAUAGAACUGCUUCUGAAACUCUUAAUCUAGAAUAUGGGAGAGGUAGAUGGAAUUUCUGGUGUAGGGGUAAAAUCCGUAGAGAUCAGAAGGAACACCGAUUGCGAAGGCGAUCUACUAGAACAUUAUUGACGCUGAGACGCGAAAGCGUGGGGAGCAAACAGGAUUAGAUACCCCGGUAGUC